UACGUAGGGGGCAAGCGUUGUCCGGAAUCAUUGGGCGUAAAGAGCGUGUAGGCGGCCAGAAAAGUCCGCUGUGAAAACUCGAGGCUCAACUUCGAGCUGUCGGUGGAAACUUUCUGGCUAGAGUCCGGAAGAGGAGAAUGGAAUUCCUGGUGUAGCGGUGAAAUGCGCAGAUAUCAGGAGGAACACCGGUGGCGAAGGCGGCAUCCUGGACCGACACUGACGCUGAGGAGCGAAAGCCAGGGGAGCAAACGGG
rnacentral:rRNA from 1 species